UGGGGAAUUUUGCACAAUGGGCGGAAGCCUGAUGCAGCGACGCCGCGUGCAGGAGGAAGGUCUUCGGAUCGUAAACUGCUUUCGCUGGGGGAGAGCGCACCGGUGGUGAAUAACCGCUGGUGUUGACGGUACCCAGUAAAGAAGCCCCGGCUAAGUCCGUGCCAGCAGCCGCGGUAACACGGGCGGGGCAAGCGUUGUUCGGAUUUAUUGGGUGUAAAGGGUGCGCAGGCGGUCUGUUAAGUCGGGGGUGAAAUUUCUACGGCUCAACUGAGAAACUGCCUUCGAUACUGACAGACUUGAGUGCGGAAGGGGAGCGUGGAAUUCCUGGUGUAGCGGUGAAAUGCGUAGAUAUCAGGAGGAACACCUGUGGCGAAGGCGACGCUCUGGUCCGUAACUGACGCUCAUGCACGAAAGCCAGGGGAGCGAACGGGAUUAGAUACCCCGGUAGUCCUGGCCGUAAACGUUGGGCACUAGGUGUGGGAGGUUUCGACCCCUUCCGUGCCGCAGCUAACGCAUUAAGUGCCUCACCUGGGGAGUACGGCCGCAAGGCUA
rnacentral:rRNA from 1 species